rnacentral:rRNA from 1 species
UACGGGGGGGGGCAAGCGUUGUUCGGAAUUACUGGGCGUAAAGGGCUCGUAGGCGGCCAACUAAGUCAGACGUGAAAUCCCUCGGCUUAACCGGGGGAACUGCGUCUGAUACUGGUUGGCUUGAGUGUGGGAGAGGGAUGCGGAAUUCCAGGUGUAGCGGUGAAAUGCGUAGAUAUCUGGAGGAACACCGGUGGCGAAGGCGGCAUCCUGGACCAUUACUGACGCUGAGGAGCGAAAGCCAGGGGAGCAAACGGG